rnacentral:rRNA from 1 species
GACGAACGCUGGCGGCGUGCUUAACACAUGCAAGUCGAGCGGUAAGGCCCUUUCGGGGGUACACGAGCGGCGAACGGGUGAGUAACACGUGGGUGACCUGCCCUCAGCUCUGGGAUAAGCCCGGGAAACUGGGUCUAAUACUGGAUAUGACUCCAUGACGCAUGUUGUGGGUGGAAAGCCUUGUGCGGCUGAGGAUGGGCCCGCGGCCUAUCAGCUUGUUGGUGGGGGAUGGCCUACCAAGGCGACGACGGGUAGCCGGCCUGAGAGGGCGACGGCCACACUGGGACUGAGACACGGCCCAGACUCCGUACGGGAGGCAGCAGUGGGGAAUCUUGCGCAAUGGGCGAAAGCCUGACGCAGCGACGCCGCGUGAGGGAUGACGGCCUGG